GUCGAGAAUCUUCCGCAAUGCGCGAAAGCGUGACGGAGCGACACCGCGUGAUGGAUGAAGUCCUUCGGGGCGUAAACAUCUUUUAUAAAGGAGGAAAUUUUUGACGUUACUUUAUGAAUAAGGGGCUCCCAAUCUCGUGCCAGCAGGAGCGGUAAUACGAGAGCCUCAAGCGUUAUCCGGAAUCAUUGGGCGUAAAGGGUGCGUAGGUGGUUUGAUUAGUCUCCCGUUAAAACUUCGAGCUUAACUCGAAAAGAGCGUGGGAAACGGUCAAACUAGAGUAUGUGAGAGGUGUGUGGAACUCAUGGUGUAGGGGUGAAAUCCGUUGAUAUCAUGGGGAACACCAAAAGCGAAGGCAGCACACUGGCACAUCACUGACACUGAGGCACGAAACCUAAGGUAGCGAAUGGGAUUAGAUACCCUUGUAGUCC
rnacentral:rRNA from 1 species